GCACUGCUGAAGAGUCCCACAAUAUGGCGAAGCGGCCGUCCAGUGC
rfam:Schistosoma mattheei strain Denwood, Zambia genome assembly, scaffold: SMTD_scaffold0015686